CACAAUCAUCGGCAAACUGCUUGAAAAAGCAGGACGCAAAGCUUCCGGUCUAAGGGCAAUUACCCAAUAAGAGGUAACAGCUUACGACAGCGGGGCCGCCAUU
rnacentral:ncRNA from 1 species